CCCCUCCUGCCUUCUAGUCCUUGCGAGGACGACCUUCCCCAAAAGAGAGGACCGUCCUUCGGUCAACGGUAUACGAGUAGCUGUGCUCCCCUACUAGAACCUCCAAACAAGCUCUCAAAGCUUUAUUUUUUUAGUUUAAAAAUUAUC
rnacentral:sRNA from 1 species